GAUCAUGGCUCAGGAUGAACGCUAGCGGCAGGCCUAACACAUGCAAGUCGAGGGGCAGCACGUUAAAGAGUUUACUCUUUAUGGUGGCGACCGGCGGACGGGUGCGUAACGCGUAUGCAACCUGCCUGACACGAGGGGGAUAAUCCGAAGAAAUUUGGUCUAAUACCCCAUAAUACCGAUAUAGGCAUCUAUGUUGGUUGAAAGCUUUGGUGGUGUCGGAUGGGCAUGCGUUGUAUUAGCUGGG
rnacentral:rRNA from 1 species